GAAGAGGAGGAGAUAGAGACAGGUAGGAGGAGAUAGAGACAGGUAGGAGGAGUGAUGAAGAUAGAGAGGAGGAGAUAGAGACAGGUAGGAGGAGUGAUGAAGAUAGAGAGGAGGAGAUAGAGACAGGUAGGAGGAGUGAUGAAGAUAGAGAGGAGGAGAUAGAGACAGGUAGGAGGAGGGAUGAAGAUAGACACAGGGAAGAGGAGGAGAUAGAGACAGGUAGGAGGAGGGAUGAAGAUAGAGAGGAGGGGAUAGAGAUAGAGACAGGUAGGAGGAGUGAUGAAG